UAAAGCAAACUUGACUGGCUUUACAGGC
rnacentral:sRNA from 1 species